rnacentral:rRNA from 1 species
CCNNCACCGAAUGCCUAAGGUUUCCUGAGGAAGGCUCGUCCGCUCAGGGUUAGUCGGGACCUAAGCCGAGGCCGAAAGGCGUAGGCGAUGGACAACAGGUUGAUAUUCCUGUACCACCUCCUCACCAUUUGAGCAAUGGGGACGCAGGAGGAUAGCGCGGUAUUGGAUAUCCGCGUCCAAGCAGUUAGGCUGGGAAAUAGGCAAAUCCGUUUCCCAUAANGNUGAGCUGUGAUGGCGAGCGAAAUAUAGUAGCGAAGUUCCUGAUUCCACCNCCAAGAAAAAGCCUCUAGCGAGGUGAGAGGUGCCCGUACCGCAAACCGACACAGGUAGGCGAGGAGAGAAUCCUAAGGUGAUCGAGAACUCUCGUUAAGGAACUCGGCAAAAUGACCCGUAACUUCNGGAGAAGGUGUCUGUUAGGUGCANNCCAGAGAGCCGCAGUGAAUAGGCCCAGGCGACUGUUUAGCAAAACACAGGUCUCUGCGAAGCCGUNAGAAGUAGGGGCUGACGCCUGCCCGGUGCUGGAAGGUUAAGAGGAGCGCUAGCGUAAGCGAAGGCGCGAAUUGAAGCCCCAGUAAACGGCGGCCGUAACAAUAACGGUCCUAAGGUAGCGAAAUUCCUUGUCGGGUAAGUUCCGACCCGCACGAAAGGCGCAACGAUCUGGGCACUGUCUCAACGAGAGACUCGGUGAAAUUAUAGUACCUGUGAAGAUGCAGGUUACCCGCGACAGGACGGAAAGACCCCGUGGAGCUUUACUGCAGCCUGAUAUUGAAUGUUGGUACAGCUUGNAGCAGGAUAGGUAGGAGCCUUGAAACCGGAGCGCCAGCUUCGGUGGAGGCAUCGGUGGGAUACUACCCUGGCUGUAUUGACCUUCUAACCCGCCCUUAUCGGGCGGGGAGACAGUGUCAGGUGGGCAGUUUGACUGGGCGGUCGCCUCCUAAAAGGUAACGGAGGCGCCCAAAGGUUCCUCAGAAUGGUUGGAAAUCAUUCGCAGAGUGUAAAGGCACAAGGGAGCUUGACUGCGACCUACAAGUCGAGCGGGGACGAAAGUCGGGCUUAGUGAUCCGGUGGUUCCGCAUGGAAGGGCCAUCGCUCAACGGAUAAAAGCUACCCCGGGAUAACAGGCUUAUCUCCCCAAGAGUCCACAUCGACGGGGAGGUUUGGCACCUCGAUGUCGGCUCAUCGCAUCCUGGGCUGUAGUCGGUCCCAAGGGUUGGGCUGUUCGCCCAUUAAAGCGGUACGCGAGCUGGGUUCAGAACGUCGUGAGACAGUUCGGUCCCUAUCCGUCGCGGGCGCAGGAAAUUUGAGGAGCUGCCCUUAGUACGAGAGGACCGGGAUGGACGCACCGCUGUGUACCAGUUGUUCUGCCAAGGGCAUCGCUGGUAGCUAUGUGCGGACGGGAUAAGUGCUGAAAGCAUCUAACAUGAAGCCCCCUCAAGAUGAGAUUUCCAUUCCGCAAGGAAGUAAGAUCCCUGAAAGAUGAUCAGGUUGAUAGGUCUGGAGGUGGAAGUGUGGCGACACAUGGAGCUGACAGAUACCAAUCGAUCGAGGAC